UGUGUUUCAGUUUUGUAGAGCGUGGGAGGUUCUAUCGACAAAGCUUUUGGACGAAAGUGGUGUUGAUGAUAACAGAACGAGGUUUGGAAAGGGAUAGUGUACACGUACUCGACGGGGGUGAAUUACACCUAAGCUUAGAUGUCUUCAAAAGGCCAUCACUCACAACAACAUCCUCUUCACCUCAAUGGCUUCACAUAUGUUGUGUUCGGGACUAAGAAGCAUGGGAACGGGAAGAUUGAUGAGCUAGAGAGGCAUAUUGAGUCUUUGAUAUGGGAAACUGUUAAGGAAAGAGAAAGGGAAUGUGUGGGAUUAGAUGA